GGAUAGAUGACCCGUUUGCGCCUCAAGAAGUCAUAGGCAGGACCAAAUGUAUGAUGGAGCGCACGACCAAAACCUAUCCACAUAAAAUUCAUGCAUUCUUUCUUCACUUUUUUGUAUUUAUAUGUUCUGUACUGUUGAGUUAACUCAGUUGCAGCUAUAACAAGUGAGCUCUAUAUUCAAUUCAGCUAACAGUUUUUGUUCCUACUAUUAAAACAUAUAUUGCUUUUUAAGAGAAACAUACCUAAUGUUUUAUUUGAUUAACCUUGUAUGUAUAGCAAAUUUAUUCUAAUUUGUUUUUCUUAAGUGUUGAAGACUUCCAUAAGGGCGCAACUACAGAAUCAUCCGGACACACCGUAAAAUGGAUAGAUGACCCGUUUGCGCCUCAAGAAGUCAUAGGCAGGACCAAAUGUGAUGUAAUUACUUUCAAUAGUGCUUCAGCUCUGCAAUCGACAGUUUGACCUCAUGCUAGGGCAGCCUCAGCCAGUUGCCUCUUCUAUCAAAGUGCUGAUGGAAGACAUCCUGAGUCCUUAUUGCAUGCUAGAGAACAACAACUAUCUUGUUGGUGAUUCCCCUGAUAUUUGGUUCUACAAGUGUGGCAUAUGGACCAAUGAAAGCAAAGA